rnacentral:rRNA from 1 species
UACGUAGGGUGCGAGCGUUAAUCGGAAUUACUGGGCGUAAAGCGUGCGCAGGCGGUUUUGUAAGCCAGGUGUGAAAUCCCCGGGCUCAACCUGGGAAUGGCAUUUGGGACUGCAAGGCUGGAGUGCGGCAGAGGAGACUGGAAUUCCUGGUGUAGCGGUGAAAUGCGUAGAUAUCGGGAGGAACACCAGUGGCGAAGGCGAUCAUCUGGGGUUGUUCUGACACUGAGGAGCGAAAGCUAGGGGAGCAAACGGG